AAUACAUGAGAAAAAAAUUACAAAGCUAAAACAGAGUAAAAACCUUAAUAUCAAUUCUGGCAAUGAUAACAAAAUAAAUGGAUUAACAUUAAAAGUCAAGGCCAGAGACAAACUUACUAUUUGUGCUGCUGUAGAUAAAAACUGACUUUCUGCUAACCAGCUUUUAGGUGCACAUACUGUAAUUAUUCUCUAUAUUUAUCAUUUCAGUGUAGUUUUUCAUAACCACACAUCUUAACUUUUGCAGCUCCACCCUUUUUUGCAACCAUCAGUUAGAGACAGAAAAGCAGACAUACAGCAUAACCAGAGUUCUGUCAUUCAUCUCUCUCAGCACUGAAUUUGAAAAUGAGAGCGUAUUAUUCACUAUUCUCUGCUCUGCUGCACUUAUGUGACGUUUGCGCUCCAGCUUUGAUUUGGUUGCAGGAUUACUUUCUGCUAGCUGAUUAACUGCCUAAAGAGGAUAUUUGUGCAAAUGAAGGAGCGAUCAGGAAACUGAAUGUGGCAGAUUAUUUGUGGAUGAUUGUUGGACAGGUAAGACAAGACAUGCUAUCAUUCCAGGCAUUAGUCUGCUGACAAUGAGUGCAUUAUUGUUAUUAUUAUGAAUGGUUGUUGUUAUUGUGGAGCUCUCCCUCCAACCUGAUGGUCUGCACCAUCUGCCCAUUAUGAUUUCUUUUUUCUAAGUCUAACAUGUGCAUCUUUUUAGCUGUUUAACUUCUACUUAACACAGCAGUCUGUUUACACUGAGCUUCACGUCCUCUAAAAUACACUUAAAUAACAUCAGUGCCCAUUAACAAAAUGCUUUAAAUGUGAAGUAUCUGGUAUUAUGAGAUUCUGUUUCUUCAGCCUCUAAUGUCUUGGCGUAAAAAAUGACUUUGUGACAGCUUGUUUGCAGGAUUAAUUACUGAUUCAGUGCAGAAUCACCAGUAACCAUCAUUGAAUGGGGCCUUUGAAACCAUGAGAUGGAAUUUUCUCGUGUGCGUUUGCUCAUGUGUUUGUAGUGUUUGUAUAGUUCUGUAUGUUUUUACAGAAAGUGCGUGUGUGUCGCGUGUGGCCUGUGUGUGUGUUAUGGUUGGGCGACCGUCACAGGCUCAUGAGCUGCCCGUGAUCCAUGCUGAGGCGAGGUGAAGGGAGAGUUGUUCCCCCACGCUCGGAGCUCGACUGACGGGGUGGCCGGGCGUCCCGCAGGGCCUGUGGCUCCAGGCUCUGACCUGGAGGAUGUUCCAGAUCUGUGGAGAUGCAGCAUCCGUAGAGGAAUAGAUGUUGUCGUUCUGUUUUUACCCAUCCGUCCUCCCCAACCUCCUCCCUGUGUUGCUGAUCCAGACCAGCAUCAUCGCACUUCUUCCUUUGGUCUCUUUAUAAUUACCUCAGCUGUUGGAAAUGUGUUUUAGAUUCCAUUUCUUGGAAAUACAAAAAAACCACACAGUCCAAAACAUUCUGUUCUUAUUGUUAAAAUUCAGCAUGGUUGAGUGGAAUGCACAAACAUUUUGGUUUUCCUUUAUUAUACAAAAAUGCUAAACAGAAAUGAACAAAUCCACGAAAAUGUCACCAAAGCUUUCAUACUCCUGCUGUAUGAGUCGGCCUUGAGUUUUCCUCAUCAGUUUGUAAAGACUGGUAGUAAUGUAGUAAACCAAAUUAAUGAGGAAACCAUUAAAGAGACGUUCCUUAUGCAUGUAUUUACUGUGUUGACGUCACAGCUUGGAGACCGUGCUGUCUUUGGUUGUAUGUUACCUUUAUUGUUUAAACCCUCCUGGGCGCUAUAAUCCACAGUUCUGUGUGUGUUUACAUGUUUGUCAGUCUAUGUGGCUUUGUAUCAGUGGGUGCAUGUGUGUGUUCAUGUAUGCAACCAUGUGUGUGUUGCUGUAUAGUCCCUCGGUGGCUGUUCCCCCGCUGUAUAGACGCCUGUUCUGGCGAUAGCAUUGUCUCCAUGUCCAAAGACCUGCCUGCUGCCCUAUUUCACCACGUCUUUAUCAUGCUAAUACAGAGAAGGAAGGAACGAGGGAGGAGGGAGAGGGGAGGAGAGGGAAGGGAGAGGGAACGAUAGCUCGACAAACAGAGAGAAGGGGUAAUCUUUCUCCUCCUCGUCUCUUCGUUCUCACCGCCUCCUCCGUUCUCUCUAUCCCCCUCUACUUUCCUUUCUUCUCAUCCCUGCACCCUCUUCAUCUGCCGCUUUCUUAUCUUCCCCCUUACUUCUUUGAUAAUCCCUCCGAACAUUGUCUUCAUAAUUACACACAACAAUGAUUCCCAUCCUUGCAAGAGAAAUGUACGCUGCGCAUGGAGAAUAUUUCAUAGAUGAAGACCAGUGUGUGAAUUAAUAACUUGGGUUUCUCAUAUAUGGUUGUUACGAUGUCUUUGUGUGUGUGUGUGUGUGUGUGUGUGUGUGUGUGUGUGUGUGUGUGUGUGUGUGUGUGUGUGUGUGUGUGUGUGUGUGUGUGUGUGUGUGUGUGUGUGUGUGUGUGUGUGUGCGUGAAGGGGGAGCACACAGAGCCCAGUGUUGUUUUAACAUGACUGUUACAUUAUGCAUGCUGACAGCCCUGCCUGUCCCCAUUAAAGGCCCAUCUUGUUUCCCCAUUAUAUCUGGUUUCUCUGUUAAUAGAGCUCUUUGUGUGGCACUUCCCUUUAUACUGGGGGUGUUACAACAGAAAGGUCAGCGCCGGUACAACCUGCCACACGGCCGUGACUCGCACAAGACCCAGAAUGGCAACGACUGCCUAGUCCUCUCAUUACAGCUCUGGUUUUUUGGGAGGAGGUGUGUUAUGAUACUUUCACUUAUUCACCAUCUUUUCUUGUGUCCUGUGCACAUUUUCUUCAUUUCUUUCUGAUAAGACGUACAUUAUUGUGUGAUCAAACGUUAACUAAUUGCUUUGUUAAUUGUUAGUACAGAAUUUAUGACUUCUUAAUAGAUUUUGAACUAAAUAAUGACAGCUUUUGUUUGAAAAAUCCACUUGACUGGUGCAUAUCUUCCUUGUCCCUUAUUCAUCAUUAACAUUUUGAGACAAUAAUACAAAUUUCUGACAUGAAUCUGUAAAGCUUUUCAUCUAAAAUUUGAGAUUUUUUUUGGUCUUGUGAAUCUUCUUCUGCAUUUUCCAUAGACUGUCUUUGUUCCCUUGCCGUUAUUGUUAUUUUACACUACCAGUCAAAAGUUGGGACACACCUUCUCAUUCAAUGCUUUUUAUUUAUUUGUAUUAUUUUCUACAUUGUAAAUCAAUACUGAAGAUUAACAUGUUUUUGUUUACUACAUAAUUCCAUAUGUAUUCCUUUAUAGUUUUGAUGUCUUCACUAUUAAUCUGCAAAACCACUGAAUGAGAAGGUGUGUCCAAGCUUUUGACUGGGUGGGUAUAUCUAACAUAUAAUCUCUUUGCAUCUCUGUCUUUAAAGGAUGUGUGAACUGCUUAACAUAUGGAUAGUAGAGUUAGAAGGCACAUACUCCUUUGAUCGAUUCAUUCAUUCAGUGUGAACAAAUGCAAAGACAUGCAAAAGGCCACAUUGGUGCAGACAUGCUGUUUCUGGUAGCAGUGAGGAGAUGAAAUCUGAUCCAGGAAGGCUAGCUGAGUAAUUGAUUCAUGAGUGCUUAUCAGGCACAGCAAGGCUGUCUAUAAUACUACAAGACAGGAGUUUAGAAGUCUGGAAAAUGUGGAACGUCACAGUGACAAUCAUUUUACCUCUUCAUGGCACGAUCACCAGAUAAACAGCAAAAAUAUACUGUUUGCAUUUCAAAGAAUCUGCUUUUGGACAACACAGUGCCUGGCUGGAUGCACUGCGUCACAUCACACCGUGUCAGAACUUGGGCCACUUUCAACUUUCCUGUUAGACUAUCCUGCAUCUUUUUUCAAGAUCCCUCAAAGUGGUGUUUUUUUUAAUGCAACAGUUUCAUAUGUGCACUGUUAGACAAAAUGCUGGGUAUCUGUCAUGAAAGUAUAACCAGGUUCCUGUUUUGCUGAAAAUCAUCCUGAGAUCACCUGUCUAGGUUUUGCUUUGACCAGUAGUUGUGUAUUCCUGGUAGAUUACUGGUGACUGUGUAGUAUUUACAAAGUGAUUGUCCCCCACAAAUGAAUUGUAAAGUUCUGCUUCAGUGCCACAAACUGCUGAGCAGAGUUUUGGGCUACAUCCUCGCUAAUAUGUUGUAAUUCCAAAAUGCAUAACUUCUGCUACCUUUAUGUCAUCCACACUGUUCCCCAGUUGUAGGAACCCUAACAUGGAGACUUUUGGAAAAGCUACUGAUACCAUUUUAGUGUGAAAACUCAGAGGUUGUGUUUUAUUCUGAACAGACAGACGCUGAAACUUUUGGAAACAAUGAUGCAGACACACUUGUUGACUUUCUGAGUGGUCUAAACUGUCACUACAUUAUAAUGCUCCGGUCACACCAGAGUUUUCUGUUUAGACAUUUAUCUUGACUAACUGGGUUUAAUUCAAUAAAGAUAGAAGAUUUACAGCCAUUUCUUACCUUUUAGUCUAUGCUAGCAGCGACUGCACCGGUAAGUGUCUCUGCCUCUGGUCCUACUCUCUGCCACUGCUGUGUUUCCUUCACAGUAUUUUCUACAACGGAACAACCAACCCUUUGUGCCAAGCUUACGUGAAUGAUGAUGGGAUAUGCCUGUUCAGGCGUUAGUAUGCACAGAUUAUUUCGAAAAUGAAGCUACAACAGAUAGAAAUUGAUUUAUUUUGGAAAUUCUGCUUCAACCUGAAAACACAUUAGUGUGGAUAGAGUUUUAGUUUUUGUUAAGUCUUUACAGUCAUGGAUGUGUCUCACUAGGACCUGAAGCUAAACCCACAGACAAGAGCAUCUUACAUUGGUUUAAUGCGGGGCCGAUUUCAGUAUGAAUGCAAGUGUGAGGUUAGAUUAAAAUAUUGUGUUUUUGAAUAAUUAUCAACUUAUCAUACUUUAUUCUUCAAGUCAGGGUUGAGGUCUUCAUCAUUUCCCAACUACAAUGAUUAUUCCCUAUUUAUAAAAAAAAGUGCCUUGAGUUGCCUAAAGAAAUCUUUAAAUACGGUAUGCUUUAUCAUGCUUUAUUUGUCAGAAGUGGAUAUUGUAGGAAAAAAAUGAAAUUAAUAGUGGAAAUAUCAUCAAAGCGACUUUGUAUAUUUGAUUUGAAUGUGAUGAUGUCAUGUUGGUAAAAAAAAAAAACAGAAAGAGAUGUGCAUGUGCAGACUUGAUGGAAUAUUGUAGAGGAAGAACCCUUUAUUAAUCACUCACUAACAUUCCUCACUCUAAGUCCACCAGGCAACAACCAGGCUGCUGUUAUAAAUGUUUCCUCCAUCCAUCCACGUAUCUCAUCAGUCAGAGACUGAACAGAUUAAAUAUGCAACGUUAUAUUUGACGUCAUGUAGAAUUCCCCAAAGUAAUAAAGCCACAUGUAUGAAUCUUCCCUUAUUUUAGUACCUAUAAUUCUGCGGGUUUGAGGCACGUUUGGACACGUUUCCAUCCCAAUUCUGUCACAAGAAAAAUGCAGCGAGCAUGUGUGUGUGUGUGUGUGUGUGUGUGUGUGUGAGACGAUAUUUGCAUCGAAUCCAUCAAGCGGUUUAACGUAGCUACUACUUAGAAAUCUUCCAUCACUGCAAACGCCGUGGAAUGACUUCAUUAUAAUAGCUGCAUGAAAUUAUAUCCUGCUCCAGCUGCCAUCUUUUCUCUUCAUUCACUGCUCCAUUCUCCCCCUUUGGCUUUUGUUCCCCCCUCCUUGGUACCUUUUUGACCUCCCCCUCGCUCCUUCCCUCUCCCUCUCUCAUCUGAAUCCACUGUGUGCAAGCCUCUGCCAGUGAUCCAUGGAUGGUAAUGGCCAUUCCUGCUGCUCCCACAGCACAGUCCAUUACUACUGGAACACCCAGACGCAAAGGGAAAGAGGUAGAAAGUCAGACAGAAAGAGACACAGACAGACAGACAGACAGACAGACAGACAGACAGACAGACAGACAGACAGAAAGAGAGUAUAUUUUGUUUUUAAAAAAGAGUAAUGGUGAAAUGAAUUUAAAGGAAUAACAGCAUGUGGUGGAUAGAUGUGUGUGUGUGUGUGUGUGUGUGUGUGUGUGUGUGUGUGUGUGUGUGUGUGUGUGUGUAGAUCAUUUCAUGGUGAGGAUUAGAGAGGGCCAGGUAAGAUAUCUUGUUUCCUGUGACCUGCUCAUCUCAAGGUUUCCCACACUCAUCACUUCACUCUAUCACAACCUUCUCCCUGAGAUAUAAAACAUAUAGAUAUUGUUCCCUCUAACCCCCAACACCCAGAAACACACACACACACACACACACCUUGACAUCACACACAACGCUGCCGAGCUGUAAAUUCAAAUUCUCUCCAAACACCUCGUUCAAACUCUCACUUUCACUCUAUCUGUGUAACACUAUAUUCCUGCCGUACUGAAAACUUGAGGGAUGUGUGUGUUUCCUGUAACUCACUGUGGGUUAUGAUAACAACCGUUUCUCCUGUCAACAGCCCAUAAUGUCAGAUUUACUGGGUUGCCCCCGGUAACCAGGCGGGCUGGCGUGGCUGAGUGAUUCUACAGCAUCUGUCAGAGCUAGAGAGGCCAUCUAUCACACACAGCAGCACACAAACACACAUCUAAUGCGUAUCUCACACAGAUUUUCAGUAUAACGAGGAUUCGAUGUCGGCAUAAAUUUCCUGACACUCUAUCUCCUGCACCUCCGUCUUUCUGUCGACCUUCUUCGGACUGCGCAGAAGAAAGACGUCAGAAUUUGUCUUGUUUAGACAGCUUUAGAUAUUAUUUUAUGUGUAUCAGUGCUGCAAGUAAUGAGUAUUUCAAGUUUUGAUUCGUCUGUCGAUUAUUUUUCUGAUUUAUCGACUAGUUGUUUGGUCCAUAAAAUAUUGCUCAGUGUUUCCUGAAGUGUUUUCCUAGACUGUCAGAGUGGAAAAAAGAAAUCAGAAAAUAUUAAAUUACAAAAACCUGGAGUCAGAGAAUUUAGACUUUUUAAAAAAAAAAAUUAAGUAUCAAAAUAGUUGCUGAUUAAUGUAAUGGUUAACAGCUAACUGAUUAACUGAUUAAUCGCUGCUGCGCUGAAAUGUUUAAUAAACAUGACAAAUUGUAACCCUCCUCAUUUUUGUUUGGAAACUGUUUUCCCAGUUGGUAAAAUGACUGAGCCAAUGGCAGGACUGACAAUCAUCCCAUUGUGUUACAAGAAUGGUGACAAGCUUGAAUGAGACGGAUACAGCUGAGUAGGUGGUUGAAGGGUUGACUUACAGAAAUAACGAGCCCCGUGAUUUUAUAUUAUUGUCAGCAAAUGCAGUGAAAAGACAAAAAAAAGGCAAUAAGUUUCAUUUAAGCUAAAAGUGACAAAUUAACUGAAGUUAUCAAAAAUGUGUGGUUAAAAACUCCAAUGUAAGCCUGUAAUAUGUAGUUGGGCAGAAAUACUAAUGAUCAGCAGAAGUACUUCGAAGUUGUACUCACUUCUUGAACAAAUGUGCUUUCCACCAUUGGUUUUACUUAACAUUACUCUAAAGGAAUAUUAGAUAUCUUUUGAGGAUCACACACUGCCUUUCUAUACAGUUGAAAGUUGGUUCUGAAAAAAUAGUCCAUUGUUCUAGUUUUUACCUUCAAAUCGAGUUGCAGCUGUGGUCAGAUUGGAUUCACAACAGUUACACUGGAUACCAAAUGUGAGACAAAGUGACGUAAAAAAAAAAAACACAUCAAAAUGUCCACAGGAGCUCCUCUGAAAACCUGCACAGCUCAAUCCACUUCUCUGUUAACCUGUAUGUUCAGUAUGUUCAAGAGUAUCCCCACAGCAUACCGGGAUUCUUCAAUUCUCCAUAGAUUUGUAGCUCUACCAGAAGUUUUAUACUUAGUGAAACAUAUUUGGUGAAUAAAUUAUUCUUUAGCGACAGAAAUCCACAGUGGAGCAGUGGACGGUGUUGUAGAAGUGGUGAAAGAGGUUUUCAUCUUGCUGUGAAUUGAGUUUUCAGCUGCUGUUCUUGUUGAAGGAGAAAGCUUGAAACUUUUCAGAGCCACAAUCUAAGUCUCUUACUAUUUGAUGUUCCAAAACUCAUUUGAAUUGUCUUUGAAAUGUCCAUACGGGUCAUUUUUGGAACAACCUACAUCUGAGAGUUUGCUGUCCUAACAUUGUUUCUGUCCCCAUUUGGAAGCAGGAACUAGACUCAGACCCACUGUUUAUACCUUAAACACCCUCAGAUUUUAGUCUGCAGAGAUAUUAGUUUGGAAAGUAAACAGUAAAAGUUAUGCUUUUCUUCUCAACUAAUGUGAUCAAAGCAGCGUUUUAACUGUUUUAAAUGGGCCUCGCUGGCAGGCGUUUCCACUGAUGUGAAACCUGGAGGAUAUAUCAAAGGAUGCAAUUGUGUGACUGUUUGGUUCUUAUCACACCACUCUAUUCCAGAUCUGAUGGUGAUAGACUAUUUUAAUUCUUAUCAUAAUAGACUAUUUCAUGCACUGAUGCCUUUUUACUCCCAUGCAGCUGUGAUGAGGUAUAAUUGGUUUGUUAUGCACAUAUUCCCAGUCUGCCGAGCUGCGCAGCGGACAGAAUUUCAUUGUGUUUUCUCUUGUCGCCUUUUCUUUUCUCUUUUGUACUUUCACUUUUGUUCAAACAGCAGUGUUGGCCUACUUCUUUGGUGUCUGUCUUCAAACUUGUACACACAGACACACCAGGCAGGCAAAGGUUAACAGUCGCAGCAGCAGUGACGAUGAUUGUCCGCUGAAGCGCGACUCCUGUCUCUUCUAAUCUUAAACACAAAGUCAGCACAUGCACACAUGCAGUGAGAUGAUGUCUUUGGGUUUUCUGUUGAUGAACCUGUCAGCCGGUAAUUGCUCACUCAGUUAAGAGGUACAGAAGCUGCAGACAAAUUACUAGCAAUAUUAAACUAAGAACCACAGGUCAUAUUAGGAGAACGAAGCGUAAAAACUGAACCAAGGAAAGUGUAUUUUUAUAUUCUGUUUGUUUUGAAAAAUCAAUUAAUGUGUUAGAGUCAAAAUAUAUUGCUGAUCCGACCUCUCGGGUGAUAUGGUCUACUUACUGAGCCAAAACCUAACAUGGAGAAGCAACAUUCAGUUUUUAUGCUCCACAUAUCUGGAACAAUGUCCCAGAAACCCUGAGCUCUGCUCCAACCCUCUUCUUUUAAAUCAGAGAUUAAGACUCUUCCGUUUGCCACAGCAUUUAAUUAAGUUAAAUUUGGAACUAUUUAUUCUUAUUCUCCUCUGCACUGUAACGUCUGUUCUCCUGUUUAAUUUGUCAUGUUCUAUUUUAGCUUUUUUAUGUCAAAUUCCAUCUUUUAAAAACCUAUUUAUGCAUCUUUUCAUAUAUUGCCUAGUGUUUCCAUUAUGUCUCCUCUGAAUGCCUUUUAUCCUUAUGUAAAUCACUUCAUGUUCCUGUAUAUUGUUGAAAUGUGCUACACAAAUAAACUGAC